AAAUUCUUUUUUUUAAACAGUAACAAGUAAUUUCAGUGACUUGUCAUUUUAUCUUUCAUGCUUGUUUAAGCUAAAGGAAGUGGCAGAUUAAGACAGGUCUCCCCAGCCUGCGGAAGAAUGUCCCCUACUCAAGGAGUUUCCCACCUCGUCUUUGGGCCUAGCCUGGCAGGUAGUCCAAAGGCUUGUUGUGGGCAGGCCAGCAGUCAACACCCUGGGUCACUGCCCAGCACUGCCUGUUACACUCACACACUGUCUUAAGAAAAGACUGAAAACUUAAACCAAAUUUGGAGACAGCAACUACUGAGAAGAGUUCCACUAGGGUGAGUGGAGGCGGUCAGACUGGAAGUCACGUUCUGAUGGUGGGUGUAAGGAACUGGGGGGAGUGGCUGUGGGGGCUUGAGGCCUUUUGAAUGUUUAGAUUCUAUUUUGUCUUGGCCCAACUUUAAUCCACCUUGCAUCAUCCUUUCUCAUCAAUCACAGUUUAAAUAUUUGUUCUCCCCACAGCUCUUUCAUCUUUUCUGCAAAUUGAUGUCUUCAGCAGAAUUCUAUGUAAAAAGAAUGCUGACAGCACCAUCCUAAUUUUUAAAAAACUCUCUGAUUAACACGUUUCUUUUUUGUGGCUGACCUACUCAUCAUAGGAAGAUUGUAAACUGGUACUUUGCUUUCGACAGCCCCUCAGAUCAUUCAUGGCCUGUAUAACUGGAGAGAUGUGUUUGGGAGAGUUCGGGCUUCCUAACCACAAGGUUUCUUCUCUCCCAGUCUUGAAGUGAGUAGACAGUCUACACUGGCAUAUCCUUAGGCUUGGAUGUCUGAUAGAUACCUGUUCUCUUAGUUAUAUCACAUCUUUUUGCCUUUAUGACAAGAAAAUGUUCAGAAGAACCAGCUUAUUUUCUCAAGAAAAAGAAAUCAGGAACUUUGUUUAUUUUGCCUUGUGCUUUGGAUAAACUAAUCCAAAUCAGGUGAGCUGUCAGUUGUUUACAGUCGAAUGUCAGCUGUAGAAAACCGAUACACAGAUCCAAUCAUUCUAUUAUCCAACAUGGUACAUAUACCCGAAUUUUCUGUCGAAGUCAUUAAGUUUCUAAAGAAAGCAAAGAUGAGAAGAUAGUUUAUACUUACGCUUUCAGUUUUUUUUGUUUUUUUGCAUACCCAUUUGGCAACCUUGUCCCUCUUCAGCUUACUCUGCAGAUAAUGGCCGGUUCUCUGUUAUAUAAAUCUCCCAGCCCAGGCUUUGCAUUUUCAUUAGGAAUAGUUUUGAAAUUUUAGGAAUUAAUUUCUUUUGGGUAAUGCUUAGCUUCAGCUGUGAAUUAUGUCUAUGCACGAGUUGUAAACUGUGCUCUGGAGUUACACGUCUCUGCUGGAAGGAAAUGGCAGCUCUCUGCUCUGCACAGGAAAGGGAGUGAAAUCACUGGGGAGCUCCCAUGGACUCCAGUUGUUAAACCGAGGAGGAGCGCUGGCAGGGGACCCCGCCGGGCUGCACGUGGAGCGCAGGACGAGAGCGGGGGAGCAGAAGACAGAGACGCAUCCUCCAGCUGAAGAGGAACCUAGGUCCUGGGAGGAAGCAUGGAUGGAGCAGAACCACAGCCAAGAUGGACGUAACGGGAGUGAGAGAGAAGCCUCUGCUGCGGUGUGCCCUGGGAUUUCAGAGCUGUUUGUUAUUGUCUCAGAACACAGCCUCAGCCACUGAUACAUUACACUGCUGCCAAAGCAGAGAUGGCUUGGCCAGUGGUCACUCAUUCCAUUUUGUACAAUUUAACCUUGAUCCAGGGCAUUAUAUAAUCAUGAUUCUAAUUUUUUUACUAAGAUCACCAAGUGGAUUCAUGGGGAGCCGAUGCCCAGAUGCUCUACUCCAGGUUCCACAGACAGUCUUGUCCGUAUGGAGCCAGGCCUGGCAGAGAAGGACACACCCAGAAAGCCGUGGAUCCUGCUGCCCAGUGGUGGCUGGCCCAUGUACACUUUGAAGUGCAUUUUUUUGACUGAAUUUCAGCAGCAUCAGCUUAGCUCCAUGAGAGGAAGAGAUUCUCCAGAGGAAGGGAGGAAGAGGACCUCUCUCUCUUCGGUGACUUCAGAUGCCUCAACCUGAGCCAUGUGUUCCUGAAGGCAAAAACCAGAAAAAAAUCACCAUAGCAUCGGGUAGAGAGUGGUUUGUUUGUAAGACAGUGGUAGCAGGCACAGAGCGUAUUAAGUUUAGGGGAUCAAAAAUGUCUUCUUGGAGGAGGCAGCUUUUCUGCUGGACUUCGAAGAAUGAAUAGGAAUUCAAUAUCCAGAGAGAGCAGGAUACGGCCAUUUGCCCUAGAGGUUCAUUGUGAUCAGAAACACUACAGUAGGAAGGCCCAGAGUGUUCCAGAAAGUGUGUUACCUCUUCCAGAUCAAGUCUUUAGCUCAAAGAAUUAAUACUUAGUAGAUUAGGACAAGAGUUUUGUGGGGGUUUUUUGUUUAAAUGGGAGAGGAGUUUCUGAAAUCUGACCUCAUAGCAUUUUGCCGAUAUUUUGGUACUAAUCUUGUAUUAGUUUGAUUCCUCUGCUUUCAUUUCUGUGUCCUCUCCCCUAAACACUGAGCUACUGAAAGGCAGGGGUAGUGUUCUACUGAGCCAUUACGCUGAGACCUAGCACAGUUCUUGACACAAUGAACAUGCAACAAAUACUUAAUGAAGAAUGAAUAAAUAAAUAUUGUUGGCCUUCCCUAUUCUUGCUUGUAUGUAGAAAAUAUACACACUUUGUGAAGUGAAGAACCUACAUGCUUGUUUUUAAAAUGUAGAAAAAAAAUCAGAAUCAUUGUCAAGAUUUGCCCAACAUUUAUAAUGACCUUUGCUGAAAAGCAAGUCAAAUGUCUUCUUUUCUUAAAGAUCAUAAUUCACAGCUGUCACAUUUCUUCUUAUUUUAUGUGUAACCGUGUGUGCCUUUACAAAUCCAUUUGUGACUAAAUUUUUAAAAAUUGGAAAAAAGCAAUGUCUAAUUGUCCUUUGAAAUUGAUUUACAAAACGUGGCUUUGUUUCAGCUCAGUGUCUUAAGAUGAUAUCAAUCUUAAUUUGAUAUCAAUCUUAAAAUGAUAACAAUCUGAAUUUCUCAUCCUGCCUCAGCUCCUACUAGAGUCUCUGUACAUUUCUGAAUCAUUGAGCUGUGGUCCUUAGAAACCAGGGCAAACUAUCCAUUGGAAAGACGUGCUCUUCUGAAAACAUCUCUCUGCUGGCCAGUAUGCAGCUGGUGGGAAUUACCAGGGUCAUGGUAACAUGAAAAAAACCCCGACAGUUAGGAUUCCGUGAGUGCCUAGUCUAAAAUAGAUUUUUGAGAGGUAAUAAAUUUAUUAGCAUAAAAAUGGCCAGAAUGGUUUAUAUAAACAAAAUAAAUAGGCACUGUAUAAAUAAGUGUCUAUUGUCGCUCUCAUCAUUGGAGGCAAUGUGGACAAACAUAAACGGAUGGAAAAUGGGCUUUGGAAUCCAAGGGACUCGUGCUUAAAUCCUGGUCUGCCCUGUGUGCCUGGGGCGGAUGGACCUCUCUAAGCUUCAGUUUUCUAACGUGCCUGAUGGAGAGAAUAUUUUCUGUUUCCCAGCAUUGUGGUGCUGGCACAAAGCAGAUGCUCCUUAAGUAUUGUUUCCUUCUCUUUUUCCAUCAUAAACAUUUAUCAUGUACUACAAUGUGAUAAAUUAUUACUGUUUGAUUAUUACUAUAUGUGGUAAAUACAAAAUAUUUAUCAAGUUCCUUCUGUGAGCAAGGCAAUUAGCUAAGUGCUCCUUGCACACUGGUACAGUGCUCAUUGAAGGUUUCCCUUUUUCCUUCCUUGCCCUUAAAUCUCCUCCCUCCCACUAUCCUCCUGCUAAAGUACAGACCCAAGCCAUAGCCUAUUUACAGGUUGUGGCACAUGCCCAUCUUCAAUAGAGCAGUCCACUCUGAAUUUAAAUUUACCACCUUUUUCCUUAGAGGGAAUGAGAAAGAAAAUGAAUUUAAUUUAGUAUAAAAAAUAAACACUUCUGGGCGCUGGAAACGUCUGUGGUGUUUUAAGAGCUGCUAUCAUUCAUCAGUCAAGCGUGUUUACCCCUCCCCAUGAUUGCUUGUGAAACCGAGCCACACACCUCGAGCCCUUCAAUGAGAGAUGGCCACCAAAUUGCCAGGCAAAGGGUGCAUGUUGCCGGUAAUCAUUCGAUGCCUGCACUGGCUCAUGAAUGUGGCCUCAGAGUAUGUUUCUCAUGGCUAGCAGGUGACAUAAAACAGUGGUUCGCAGUAUAGUAAAGCACAGCUUGUACUAUUGUUACCUCAUGGCUCUCGAUUUUGGGCCAAUGCAUUUUCUUGUGGUUGUGCUUUUUCAUAGUUUAUCCUCUUAUAAUUUUGAGAGGCAUUGUCUUCUGCAUGAAUUCUCUGUACCCUAGUUGUGAAAUAGCCAGGGUAAUUAUUGUCACUAGCUCAUUCUUACCACACUAAAGGGACAUGGCAUUUGCCUGGGAGGAGGGAGUUAUUCAGGAGUCAACAAGGCAGGCUUACAACAUCCAUAGUCUAACCCAAGAGUGGGUGGGAGUCUGGGCUGGGUGGAGAGCUGGUGAACACGUCCUUUGAGUGAGCUCCUUCAAUGCACAAAAGGAACUUUCCUAAGAAACUAAGGCCAAAAGGAAGCCCAACGCAGAAAAUGUGAAACUUUAAAGAUAAGCAGGUUUCCUGUUUAGAACAGCAUUUGGCCUCCAAUAAAAAUGUAUGUGUUGGUAAGCGUUAUUAUCAUUAUUAUUAGUGAAUUAAGCAACUAAGUGAAUUCAGUGCCAUUUACUGCAAUGGAGAAGACUGGAAGAGGAGCAGAUUUGGGGGAAAAUAUCAGGAAUUCUAUUUUGGAAGUGUUAAAUUUAAGAUGUUCAUUAGAUUUUUUUUUUUUUUUUGAGGAAGAUUAGCCCUGAGCUAACAUCUGCCGUUAACCCUCCUCUUUUGUUUGUUGAGGAAGAUUGGCCCUGAGCUAACAUCCAUGCCCGUCUUCCUCUACUUUAUAUGUGGGAUGCCUGCCACAGCAUGGCUUGAUAAGCAGCACGGGGGUUCGCACCCAGGAUCUGAACUGGCAAACCCCGGACGGCCGAAGCCAAGGGUGUGAACUUAACCACUGCGCCACCGGGCUGGCCCCUGUUUGUUAGAUUUCUAAGUAGAAGUGUCGAGCUGAACAUAAGAAUCUGGAGUUACUGGUCAGGGCUGGAGUUAUAGAUUUGAUCUUUAAAGCAAGAGUCCCGAAUGAGAUCAUGAACAUGGAGAGAUUGAGGAAAAGAGGAAGAUCCAGGAGAAGGAGUAACAAGAAGGAGGCACUUAUCUUGGAAGGAAAUAAGAAUGCAUUUUCUAAGGAAAAUGGUGCUUCAAGAAAGGUAUGGUCAGCGGUGUUCUCACUGAGAAAUCAAGUACUGAGUUCUGAGGCUUGACCGUGGAAUGGAAUGUGCUAAGUAGAGGUACCUGGUGACUUGGCGGGAGGGGCUUCAGUGUCCUCGUGAGGUCAGAAGCCCACGUGGACUGAGCCACAGAGAAUAGGGAGGUAAAGAGGUACGCACAUCCCAGCAAAAGACCGCAUGCAGGCACGGGCUCCAGACCCUUGGCGUCCAUCCUGCCUGGGUCCAUGCAAGCUCAAGCUCUCCAAACCCUUGAACUUCAGGCUGGCACUUCUCUAAGGCCCAUGGUAUUCUCAGGUCCUUCCCAAUUCUUUCAAGAAGGAUUGAGAAGCAGCGGUGAUGGUUCUGUUGCCUAAAACUGGUAGAGUAGACCAACACACUCAUCUAAAUAAUGCACAAAUUGGCACAAAGAGAUUGGUGAGUGUAAUUUGGAAGUUGAGGGAUUCUGUGUCCUGAGAUCAAUCUCUAGAUUCUUCAAGUAAUAGAAAGUUUUCCUGCCCUCUGUAAUGAUCAUAAUGUGCUUAAUAUGUAAAAUAAAUAAGACAUUUGUAAUAGCCAUGAAGAACAAUUAGACAAAUCGUGUAAUUUUGGAAGUCAUCAUUGCUGCUUCUUAACCUAAACAAGUCUUCUUUCCUGUUAUGGACUGAGUUGUGUCCCCCCACAAAUUCUCAUGCUGAAUGCCUAACCCCCAAAGUGACUGUAUUUGGCCAUAAGCCCAGAGACAUGCUGGGGAAGGGGCAGCUCACAGCAGCCAUACAUGGCACGUGAGUUGGGCAUGUUGCCAGUCAGGCUGAGGAAUUUAUUCAUUGAUUGAUUUGUUAAAUAAGUAUAUAAGGAGCCCUUGGCACCCACAACCCUAGUGGUGACUAAACAAGAAGAGAUCCCUGAGAUCUCUAAGAGAUGGCUAAGCAAAGAGACUUCGUUGAGCUUAGAUUCUGCUUGGUAGAGACACAACACAGACAUAAAUCAGUGAGAUGAUUUAAGGUAGAGAGAGGUGCUGUGAAGAUUAUGAAAAAGGGUAAAGGGAUGGUAGAAAGGCCUACUUUUGACAGAGUGUUCAGAGAAGCAGACAGAGGAAGUGACACUGCGCCCCGGGUAGGAAGGUGAGAAGGAGCCAGGAAUGCCAGGGCAGUGACAUGCCCAGCAGAGUAAAGCGGGUGAGGGGGAUGAAACCUCAAGGCAGGCCAGAGGGGAUUCAGAGGGAAGGUCUGGCCAGAGCUGAUGAUGUGGGGUCCUGUGGCCGUGGGGAGUGCUUUUCUUCUAGAGUGGGCAGCCACCGAGGGUUGUAAACUGGGAGAUGGUAAGCUUCUAUCUAUAUUUUAAAAGGUGAUUCCGGCUGUGGUGGAGGCGAGUCGUCGAAGGUGAGCACAGUGGAGGCGGUGCAGUGCUGCAGGGGCUCCGGGCAGAGAUGAGGGUCAUUCGGGAUCCGGGCUGGCAGCAGAAGCAGUGAGGAGAUGUGAGGGUCAGAAUUCAUUUUGGUGCAAAAGUUGCCAGGAUUUGCUGUUGGAUGGGAUGUGCCUGUGAGGAGAAGAGAGGAGUUGAAAACACUCCUAGGGAUUUGUGGAUGUACAAUAAACCGAGAAGUAUAAGCAGGACCGGGGGAACAAAGCUAGAGCUGUGAUUUAGCUCCAUUAAGUCUGGGGUCUUCAUUAGAUAUUAAAGAAAGGGAGGCUGGUCAAGUGUGUCAAAUGCCACUUCGGAGGUAAGAAAGAGAGCCCAGGAGAGACCACGGACUUUCGCCAAAUAAAAAUGGUGGGUGCUUUGGAUAAGCGCCGGUUUCGCUGAGCCAUGGGGUUGAAAACUGCUUUAAACUAGAGUGUUAAAGAGAGGAUGUGAAGCGAGAACAUGGGAAAGUUCUACAGGGAAGAGGAAUAGAGAGAUGGGCACAAGGCAGCUGGAGGAGAUGUGGGGUAAAGGGAGACGUUGUUAACGACAAGCAAGAACAAGGCUUCUUUAUAAGCUACUGGGAACCUGGCGUUCAGAGAAAUGGGACUACAGUCAGCCCUCGCAUUUGCACGUUCCACAUCUGCAGAUUCAACCAACCACAGAUCCACAGGCCUACAACGGUUGUGUCUGUCCUAAGUAUAUACAUCCGUUUUCUUCUUGUCAUUAUUCCCUAAUCAGUACAGUGUAACAGCUACUUACAUAGCACUUACAUGGUAUUGUUACUGCCCCAGGAGGAGAUCCUCUGCUCUCCGCAGGACAUGCCAGUAGCCAGGAGGCAAGUGGCAAGAGAGAAAGGACUUUAUCACAGCUUGCUAGCAAGAGGGAAGAUGGCCGACUCAUGUCCAAAAGAACCAUCUCCCAGAACAAAGACUACAGCCCAGUUAUAUAUGGGGCUGGUCUCCAGGUGGGGGAGGUGGCGGGUCUCUGGGUGGGGCAGACAUCUGGUCCCAGUUCCUGAUAGUCCUUUGUUUUACUGGAUAUGCAUCAGAGAGUGGAGCAAUGCCCCAGACCCUAAUCUUUCAGUUGUCAUUGAUGAUGGCUAUCAGCAUGGGCUCUCUGCCUGAGGGGUCGUCACAUUCCUAGGAUUGUGUCAUCCACAAUCCUGGAGAACUCAAAAGAACAAAGUUAUCAACUUGUAGCACCUGGAAGGGCCCACAAAAUCUACAGAGCAUGACUGGGUUAGUUAAUCAAAGGUCAUUUCAAGUUACGUGUUUUCUUUUCUACAAUAUGUCUUCCCUUAUGUCAACCUUGUGUUGAGCUGGUAUCAGUAUUAGGUAUUAUAAGUGAUCUAGAAAUGAUUUAAAGUGUACGGGAGGAAGGAUGUGCAUGGAUUAUAAGCAAAUACCACACUGUUUUAUAUAACGGACUUCAGCAUACUCGGAUUUUGGUAUCCCUGUUGGUCCUGGAACCAAUUCCUUGUGGGUGGACUGUAUUUGAAGGGCUAGGUUGCUAAGUAGGCUGGAAGAGAAGGGACCUGGAGCAUAAAUAAUAAUGCUGAAAAAGCUAAAGUUGACAAUUG
ensembl:lncRNA